rnacentral:tRNA from 1 species
GACCACGUAGCUCAGUUGACAGAGCAUUGGGCUAGCAUUCCAAAGGUCGUAGGUUCGAUUCCCGCCGUGGUCA